rnacentral:rRNA from 1 species
AUUGAACGCUGGCGGCAGGCCUAACACAUGCAAGUCGAGCGGAUGAAGGGAGCUUGCUCCUGGAUUCAGCGGCGGACGGGUGAGUAAUGCCUAGGAAUCUGCCUGGUAGUGGGGGAUAGCGUCCGGAAACGGGCGCUAAUACCGCAUACGUCCUGAGGGAGCAAGUGGGGGAUCUUCGGACCUCACGCUAUCAGAUGAGCCUAGGUCGGAUUAGCUAGUUGGUGGGGUAAAGGCCUACCAAGGCGACGAUCCGUAACUGGUCUGAGAGGAUGAUCAGUCACACUGGAACUGAGACACGGUCCAGACGCCUACGGGAGGCAGCAGUGGGGAAUAUUGGACAAUGGGCGAAAGCCUGAUCCAGCCAUGCCGCGUGUGUGAAGAAGGUCUUCGGAUUGUAAAGCACUUUAAGUUGGGAGGAAGGGCAGUAAGUUAAUACCUUGCUGUUUUGACGUUACCAACAGAAUAAGCACCGGCUAACUUCGUG